rnacentral:tRNA from 1 species
AUUUAUAUAGUAUAAUAAUUAUUAUUGACUUCCAAUCAAUAGAUCUUAAAAGAGUAUAAAUA